rnacentral:rRNA from 1 species
GAUGAACGCUGGCGGCGUGCUUAACACAUGCAAGUCGAGCGAUGAAGUUUCCUUCGGGAAACGGAUUAGCGGCGGACGGGUGAGUAACACGUGGGUAACCUGCCUCAUAGAGUGGAAUAGCCUUUCGAAAGGAAGAUUAAUACCGCAUAAUGUUGAAAGAUGGCAUCAUCAUUCAACCAAAGGAGCAAUCCGCUAUGAGAUGGACCCGCGGCGCAUUAGCUAGUUGGUGGGGUAACGGCCUACCAAGGCGACGAUGCGUAGCCGACAUGAGAGGGUGAUCGGCUACAUUGGGACUGAGACACGGCCCAGACUCCUACGGGAGGCAGGAGUGGGGAAUAUUGCACAAUGGGGGAAACCCUGAUGCAGCAACGCCGCGUGAGUGAUGAAGGUUUUCGGAUCGUAAAGCUCUGUCUUUGGGGAAGAUAAUGACGGUACCCAAGGAGGAAGCCACGGCUAACUACGUGCCAGCCGCCGCGGUAA